AGUAUAGUCUGUACAAUGGGACUGAAAUGGUAUCCACACCCCGAACUGCUCCACUGCAUCAAAGGAUGUGAACCCUUCAUGGGAGACAACUACUGUGAUUCGGUCAACAACAGAGCCUUCUGUAACUAUGACGGAGGGGACUGCUGCCAAUCCACUGUCAAGACCAAGAAGGUGAUUCCAUUCCCCAUGUCGUGUGACCUAAGAGAUGAAUGCUCCUGCCGGGAUCUGAAUGCUUUUGAGAACAGAAAGGAUGAACACGUCCACUCCCUCGGGUGACCGCCCCGCGCGGGGACCUGUGUUCAACGUCCCAUUGCUCCAACACAACACAGCCUGAGUGGCCGAGGCAGAUCCCUUCUUCAUCCUCCUCCUCUCGGCCUCCAAAUUUCCUGCACAUGCUGCUUAACGGGCAUACCUCUCCAUCCAUACUGCAACCUCAACCAGCCGAAUGGUCUCCGCCUCCACGUCACUGAAAGAUCUAGCAUAGAGGAUGGACCCCUUGAGACGCCACAGUAAACUUCAUUCUUCCGCUAAAAGGAAAGUAACUCCUGCAAUUACAUAACGAUAAUAAUAAAAGAAGGAAAAUGUUGUUGUUUUUUGAAGAGGGAAAACAAAUACAGAAGAAAAACCUGAACAAAAAUAUAACCAAGCCUAGGUAGCAUGCCUUUUGUUCAGUUUUGUUCUGGCGUCAGUGUCUAUUAGUGACCUUGCUAUAGAAUCCUAUCAUUGAACCAAAGUUAAUUAAAAAUAUGGAAGUGGGGGGAUUGUGUUUAUGUUGGCUCUGUGUUUUACAAAUAUGAAGGAAAUCGAGACAAAAUAAUCCUCAGACACUAUAAUUGCAUCUUUUCCGAGGAGCUUGUAUCAUUCCUGGUUCUUAACUGGUCAGACAUUCUGUAUUGUAUGUAUGUCAUUAUCAGACGAGUGUGUUUCUUCAUAGGCACGUCAGAGGCUUAUAGAGGUUAUUCCUAGCUUGGUGGGGAAUGCGACAGCCAUAUAGUUAAGCGUCAAGCCACACGUUCAACAAAAAAGCAAAAGCAUCAUGCACAAAUACAGUACAUGCAGAAAAACUACACACACACACAAUAUCCCAAGACAAUUUUAUACUUAAGGCAAAUUCCUGAAUGCAUAUUAAAAACAAUCCAAGCAUGGCUUAUGCUACUGUGUUUGCUGCUACUUGCCAUCUUCACAUUAUUGUAUCUAAUAGGGUGAGACAGCUUUGUCUGUCCGGUCUGCCUCGCUGCAGACCUCUUCGUAGCAUUCAUUCACACUUGCAUGUUAGUGCAUCAUACUCUCAAAGAACACAUGUUUGACGUCACCAGAUAUGAAAUGCACUAAGAACUUUAAAAAACCCAGAACCUCACUCGUCAUCCCCUUCGUACCCAACUGCUCAAGAAAAUAACUACCAGGACUUAAAGAAUGUCAUUGUUAACACCUCGCUUUAGGUUGGGGUGAUUUAAGGUUCAGUUUGAACCCCUCCCUCGUGGCGCUUGAAUAGAACUCUGUUACCUCAAGCACUGGUUAAAAAAAAACAAAAAAAAAACGAUUCAAGCCCUGCUCAGAAUGUAGUCAACGCUCGUCGGGAGUCUGUGGCUUCUUUUUUCGUUGUUGUUGUUGUUGAACGCACAGUCCUUCACAGCACAGCCACACAAUAGUAAACAAAUAAAGGGCUGGAUAUCUGCCAUGGCUUUGACUGAAAGUGAGUGCAGGUGGAAGGAGACAACAUCUGACACCUGCAUAGAUACACAUAUAGCUCUCCUUCUCUCCCCUCCCAGUAGUUCUGGAUUCUCAGCUGUUGCUGCACACAAUUAACUAGUAUACAUAAACAUGACAUUUGGAUGUAUAUUUCAUCACAGCAUUCGCAGUCACAAUGUAAUCAAAGGUUCCCACGAGUUGCUGCUGGGUCUAGUUUUUAAGGAAUGCGUUUAUGCAGUUAUGUUUGUCUCUGCAGUAAAAAGUGCACUUGGUUUUUUUUUGACCAGCACUUUCCAGUAUUGUGAACUCGGGUGUCCGUCCCCACCAAUUAACUUCUUUAGAUGUUAUGGCUGCUACAAUAGCUUUGUGUUUUGAUAUUCUUCACUAAAGACGCAUAAACAGUAGUUUUUAACUCAUGCACUCAAGGCUGCUCAAUAUAUUGAUCCAGAUUUCAGAACAAUUUCAUGUCAUUUUCAAACCAAUGUUGGUGAAGAACUAAAGGCAAUACCACAACAUUGAGAAAAAGUGAUAUUACGGUAUUAUUUUCUUCCAAAUACAACAGUUUUUCCCAUGUAAAUAUUACUACAUGUUCUUGAUGGACAACUGCGUGGAAACAUGUUUUGGGUUGUUGUUUGUAUUUCAUUUUUUACACAAUGUCAUAUUUAAUCAGCGUUUAUAUUAUUGACCUCAGUUACUGCACUUUUUUUUAUUUUCCGUGUAAGGAGAAAAGUAUAUCUUUCAAAAAUGUUUAGAAGCUGCUAUCGUCCGAAUGGUGAUCUGAAACAAAACUGAAUGUUAUGAUAUUCGGUCGUUUGACUCCCUGUGUCGCUAUUAACUUUCCUGUCAUUAGUUUGAUUUGUGUUUGGCCAUGACUGCUUCUUUUCAAUCCUAAGAUGACUUUGCAUUUGAGGUUAUCAAUGAAGUAGAGAGGUAUUGUCUCUACAAACAAUGAAUCCAUCUUUCCAUUACAGCUACACUGCAAAUUAGUUUGCAAUGGGCAAGAAUACGCUUGAAUUAAGAAAUCCUCAUUAAAAGGGACUCAUGACAGUAACUUUAAUUAAACAUGAACUUUGAAAGGACGUUCUACAGGCUACAUCAUCAGAUUAUAUCAAAAUAUAUAAAGUCCUGCAUACAUUUGUUUUUGAUAAUAUCAAAUUAUAUGUAAUAUUAAUGGUAAAUGGAAUGUAUUUGCAUCGUGCUUUUCUAGUCUUCCGACCGCUCAAAGCGCUGCAACAAUACAUGUCACCAUUCACCCUCCCGUCUGUGUAUUGAUGGCAGGAGCUGCCAUGCACGGAGCCACCCGCCCAUCAGUACCUAUCAUUCACAAACGCUAUUCACAGCUACGGGAGCAAUUAGAGGGUUAAGUGUCUGGCCCAUGGCCUCAAGUGGAGAUGGGGAUCGAACCAUUGAUCUUCUGAUUGUAGGACGGCCCUGCUCUCCACUCAGUAGUAGGCCUGCUCCUGGAAAUGCUGCUCAACACUUCGCUGUUGCACGAUAGUGACACAGUACUGCAAAUGACGGCACCGGAAAGUCAUGCUAACCUUUUUUAAACGGAUUAAUAAAAAAAUCGUUCACGCGUCCUUCCCGUCGCUCUAAAGAUACCCUGAUGUUGCGUCCAAAAACUUUAACUCAUAAAGACUAAAGAAUGUGACUUCAUGUCAGCUUAAAAAAACGAUAUUCUUAAUAGUGGAGAUGGUACCAAUUAGCCGUAGCUAACCACAAAAUGCAUGCAAGUAAUACAAGUAUGAAUUGGAUGAGGACAUCACCUCUCUACUGUAGUCAUCACAGGAUCUCUUACUGUACCUCAUGCCUGUAAUGUUUGCUGCUUCUAUACUUUUGGUAUUUUAGUGACAUUGUUGCGUCUCAUAACGGUGGUGUACAUAGUAGAACUAUUUAUUGAGAGUACUUUUUUAAGUUAUAUUUAAUGUCCAUGUAAGUUAUUUUUUACACAAAAACAUUGUCGGUUGUGAGUCAAAGCUGUAAUUUGUGGUGAUCAUUUCUGUCAUGCAUUGAUCAGACACACGAUACACUUCAGACUCACAACCCCACAAGAAUCUCAUUGGUCAUAAAGUGUAGAUGGCCCCUUAAUGCAUCCAAUGAGGAUCCAACUCAUGUCCAAAUGUUACUGAGUGCAGUGUAUCGUUUUGCCCCUUUUAACACCCGAAUGUAAGGUUUUUUUUUUUUUUCCUUUUUUAUUUCCUAUUGUUUUUCUAUCCACAGAUUAACCAAUACGUACUGUAUGAGGUGUUGUAAAAAAAAAAAGAGAACCAAGUAUAUAAUGGUCAAAUGCAUAAAUCCAUAGUUUAGCAAAUUAUGUUUCAAGAGACUAGUGUAAGACGAAAAUAAUAUACGUACACAGCCGGGUGAGAGGAGAGGUGUCAACAAUAAAGGGAAAGAAGGACUUGAUGUCACAGGGCAGUUUGACGGUGCCCCAGAACGAGGUUCUUGGACUGCGGGGAAGCAGGAGG